UGUAAGACUGGGAUAACUCCGGGAAACCGGGGCUAAUACCGGAUAACUCAGUUCCUCGCAUGAGGAACGGUUGAAAGGUGGCUUUUUGCUACCACUUACAGAUGGACCCGCGGCGCAUUAGCUAGUUGGUGAGGUAACGGCUCACCAAGGCGACGAUGCGUAGCCGACCUGAGAGGGUGAUCGGCCACACUGGGACUGAGACACGGCCCAGACUCCUACGGGAGGCAGCAGUAGGGAAUCUUCCGCAAUGGACGAAAGUCUGACGGAGCAACGCCGCGUGAGUGAAGAAGGUUUUCGGAUCGUAAAACUCUGUUGUUAGGGAAGAACAAGUGCCGUUCGAAUAGGGCGGCACCUUGACGGUACCUAACCAGAAAGCCACGGCUAAGUACG
rnacentral:rRNA from 1 species